ACCAGCAUAGCCUAGUGGGAAAAGCAUGGGACUGGUAGUCUGAAGACCUGAGUUCUAAUCUCAGCUCUGCUG
rnacentral:tRNA from 1 species